GAUGAACGCUGGCGGCGUGCCUAAUACAUGCAAGUCGAGCGAACGGACGAGAAGCUUGCUUCUCUGAUGUUAGCGGCGGACGGGUGAGUAACACGUGGAUAACCUACCUAUAAGACUGGGAUAACUUCGGGAAACCGGAGCUAAUACCGGAUAAUAUUUUGAACCGCAUGGUUCAAAAGUGAAAGACGGUCUUGCUGUCACUUAUAGAUGGAUCCGCGCUGCAUUAGCUAGUUGGUAAGGUAACGGCUUACCAAGGCAACGAUGCAUAGCCGACCUGAGAGGGUGAUCGGCCACACUGGAGCUGAGACACGGUCCAGACUCCUACGGGAGGCAGCAGAAGGGAAUCUUCCGCAAUGGGCGAAAGCCUGACGGAGCAACGCCGCGUGAGUGAUGAAGGUCUUCGGAUCGUAAAACUCUGUUAUUAGGGAAGAACAUAUGUGUAAGUAACUGUGCACAUCUUGACGGUACCUAAUCAGAAAGCCACGGCUAACUACGUG
rnacentral:rRNA from 1 species